UUGGCGAGCCAAAGCGAUUCUAAGCGGAGGCUCGUUCGUUGGCCGAUCUCGAGAUCGAAGCUGGGUGGUCGAAUCCUAAUCGACUGACGAACGAUUGCUCACACGAGUUUCGUUGGUGAACACACGAAGACGUAGGUGUGUAAAUGGAUAGAUUAUACAUCGUCGAUGUAUCCCGUGCAUGGCUCUCAGACGACUCGUGAACCGCCUCUUUUAUCCGGGGCGCAAUUGAGUCAACGGCCUUUCGAAAGAAGUAACGGUAUACGAUUAUUACUCCUACCGAGUCUAUACUCACGAAACUGAAACAUUCGCGCGCGAGCGCCAGCCAACUCAGCCAAGCUCGAACGUUCGCGCACGCGUUUCGCAGCCUGGUUUAUGGCUAUAGACUGUGGCUAACGUUUUACGGCCACGGUGACGGAUAUCGCCGCCUUUUAAACGACUCGCUAAGGCAAACCGGGACGAACGCGUUCCGGAUCAUCCGGCUUCGUAUCAUCGGUGGAACUCCAUUUUUUCUGAACUCGUCGGAGCACCAACGGCUUAUACAAUUGGCGUUCACGUAAUAGCUUUUGCUCUUUUUCUUCUGCCAUUUCAUUGUGGAGAAAGGAAAGAGAAUGGAGAUCUUAUCCAUCGGGUUGAUAACGCGAUUUGUUGGCACAUUGUCCUUAUGUUCAGCCUACAUCGCUAGGUACGACAUGGCUGAAAAUGGAACGAAUCUGUUAGGUUCGAAGAUGACAUUUUUUAAAAAUAUCUGGCGAGCUCGUUGGAAAGUAAGGUAUAACCAUUUGUAAAAUUACAUACAUUUAACGCGACACUAAAAUACAGCAAACAAAAUUUAUUAAAUAAAAACAUUCGAGUCAA